CUGGCGUCAGGAAGUGAACGCUAGCGGCAGGCUAACACAUGCAAGUCGAGGGGCGAGCGGGAUGUAGCAAUACAUUGCCGGCGACCGGCGGAUGGGUGCGUAACGCGUAUGCAACCUACCUUAUACAGGGGAAUAACCUUUCGAAAGGGAGACUAACACCCCAUGGUAUUGAUUUAAGGCAUCUUAGAUUAAUUAAAUAUUUAUAGGUAUAAGAUGGGCAUGCGUAUGAUUUAGCUAGUGGUAAGGUAACGGCUUACCAAGGCGACGAUCAUUAGGGGUUCUGAGAGGAAGGUCCCCCACACUGGUACUGAGACACGGACCAGACUCCUACGGGAGGCAGCAGUGAGGAAUAUUGGUCAAUGGGCGCAAGCCUGAACCAGCCAUGCCGCGUGCCAGGAAGACGGCCUUAUGGGUUGUAAACUGCUUUUACAUAAGACUAACCGUAUAUUUGCGAAUAUACCUGAAUGUAUUAUGAGAAUAAGGAUCGGCUAACUCCGUGCCAGCCGCCGC
rnacentral:rRNA from 1 species